rnacentral:rRNA from 1 species
GACGACGCUGGCGGCGUGCCUAACACAUGCAAGUCGAACGGGGUGAUUUUCUUCGGAGGAUCACUUAGUGGCGAACGGGUGAGUAACGCGUGAGAAACCUGCCUUUCAGUGGGGGACAACAGUUGGAAACGACUGCUAAUACCGCAUGAUGUCAUCGGGGGACAUCCUCUGGUGACCAAAGCUUUAUGUGCUGAAAGAUGGGCUCGCGUCUGAUUAGCUAGAUGGCGGGGUAACGGCCCACCAUGGCGACGAUCAGUAGCCGGUCUGAGAGGAUGGACGGCCACAUUGGGACUGAGAUACGGCCCAGACUCCUACGGGAGGCAGCAGUGGGGAAUAUUGGGCAAUGGGGGAAACCCUGACCCAGCAACGCCGCGUGAAGGAAGAAGGCCCUCGGGUUGUAAACUUCUUUUACCAGGGACGAAGGACGUGACGGUACCUGGAGAAAAAGCAACGGCUAACUACGUG